rnacentral:rRNA from 1 species
UACGGGGGGAGCAAGCGUUGUUCGGAUUUACUGGGCGUAAAGGGCGCGUAGGCGGUCAGCACAAGUCAGUUGUGAAAUCUCCGGGCUUAACUCGGAAAGGUCAACUGAUACUGUGCGACUAGAGUGCAGAAGGGGCAACUGGAAUUCUCGGUGUAGCAGUGAAAUGCGUAGAUAUCGAGAGGAACACCUGCGGCGAAGGCGGGUUGCUGGGCUGACACUGACGCUGAUGCGCGAAAGCCAGGGGAGCGAACGGG